rnacentral:rRNA from 1 species
UCAGGACGAACGCUGGCGGCGUGCUUAACACAUGCAAGUCGAACGGUGACGAGGAGCUUGCUCCUCUGAUCAGUGGCGAACGGGUGAGUAACACGUGAGCAACCUGCCCCAGACUCUGGGAUAACAGUUGGAAACAGCUGCUAAUACCGGAUACGAGACGGAGAGGCAUCUCUACCGUCUGGAAAGUUUUUCGGUCUGGGAUGGACUCGCGGCCUAUCAGCUAGUUGGUGAGGUAAUGGCUCACCAAGGCGACGACGGGUAGCCGGCCUGAGAGGGCGACCGGCCACACUGGGACUGAGACACGGCCCAGACUCCUACGGGAGGCAGCAGUGGGGAAUAUUGCACAAUGGGCGAAAGCCUGAUGCAGCGACGCCGCGUGAGGGAUGAAGGCCUUCGGGUUGUAAACCUCUUUCAGCAGGGAAGAAGCGAAAGUGACGGUACCUGCAGAAGAAGCACCGGCUAACUACGUGCCAGCAGCCGCGGUAAUACGUAGGGUGCGAGCGUUGUCCGGAAUUAUUGGGCGUAAAGAGCUUGUAGGCGGUUUGUCGCGUCUGCAGUGAAAAUCCGGGGCUCAACCCCGGACUUGCUGUGGGUACGGGCAGACUAGAGUAUGGUAGGGGAGACCGGAAUUCCUGGUGUAGCGGUGGAAUGCGCAGAUAUCAGGAGGAACACCGAUGGCGAAGGCAGGUCUCUGGGCCAUAACUGACGCUGAAAGCGAAAGCAUGGGCGAACAGGAUUAGAUACCCUGGUAGUCCAUGCCGUAAACGUUGGGCGCUAGGUGUGGGACUCAUUCCACGAGUUCCGUGCCGCAGCUAACGCAUUAAGCGCCCCGCCUGGGGAGUACGGCCGCAAGGCUAAAACUCAAAGGAAUUGACGGGGGCCCGCACAAGCGGCGGAGCAUGCGGAUUAAUUCGAUGCAACGCGAAGAACCUUACCAAGGCUUGACAUAUACCGGAAACAUCCAGAGAUGGGUGC